UUUAUCCAAAAAUACAUGAGUAUGUUGAAGCACUGAGCUUCUGUGGUGAUGGGAAAGGUUCUUCACCCAAAGGGUAGUCAGGCAGUGGAACAGGCUCCCCAGGUGCUGCAGCUGUGCCUUUUUUGCACCCCUGAGACACCUGGUUACAACCACAAGCUGAGCAGCAGGACAGACACCUGAGCACUUCGGCCCUGUAGGUAGAAGAUCAAAAAUCCAAGCUUCCUUCUCAAGAGGCGGAACUGCAACUGAAAAAUCAAGAUACUGAAGCUUUGAUUGCUAAGAUAGGUUUUCAGACUGGGAAAGUGAACCAAGAAAAGGCCAUUGCAGAUGCAGAGGAGCUAAAGGUUGAUGACUCUUCACAAGAUUUAAUCAACUAUGAUAAGGAGCAUAUUCCUCAGAAUUGUCUGAAAGUCAUCAAGGAACAUUACUUGAAAGAUGCAGAUUUCAACCCAAAUUAUGUUCGUACAAAAUCCUUUGCAGCAGCUGGUCUCUGUGCCUGGGUCAUCAAUAUAGUAAAAUUCAGUGAGGUGUAAUGUGAGGCAGAACCAAAAUGUUGUGUGCUGGCUCAGGCUAACACUGAAUUAGCAGCAGCUACAGAAAAACUGGAAGCCAUCAGGAAAAAGCUUCUUGGAGUUCUACAUCUAGAAAAGUUUCAACAGAUCCAGUGUUCCAGCCAUGGUACUUCUCGGUCUGCUUCAUUUAAUUCUUCUUUCAGUAUUUUGUAAUGUGCACCCCUGCCCUAUGCAACCUGUUCCAGCUGGCUCAUGUCAGGCUGAAUGUUAAAGGUUUUGAAUUCAAUCCAAAACCCACUAGUAAGGAAGUCUUGGAUAACACCAUGAAGGAACUGAUGUGUGUUUGCCCUUUGCUUCAGCAAGUAAAAAAUCAGUUCCAGGCAUCUGGUAUAAAGCUUCUGUUAUGCUUCCACCAGCCACUUUUGUUUUUUCUAACUU